rnacentral:lncRNA from 1 species
UUCUCCUUUCUUCUUUUCUCUUUCCCGCUCCCCCCUCCUUCGCUCCCUUUCUUCUCUCUUUCCCCCGCCUUUUUUGCCCCCUCCUUUUUUUCUUUCCCCCACCCUCACCUCCUCUGCCCCUCUCUUCUUCCCCUCCUCUUAGACAACAUGUAAAAGCUACCAAACAUGCAAAAUCUCUGGCUUCGAGUCCAACCAUUAGAGACGCGGAUCUAGGCCCCAUGGUCGCGCGAGCGUCUGAUCUGGCCACCAUGAUCGUCGUCUGUCAUCGUCUAUUUGGCCUCCAUCCCUC